GACGAACGCUGGCGGCGUGCUUAACACAUGCAAGUCGAACGGAAAGACCCUGCUUUUGUGGGGUGCUCGAGUGGCGAACGGGUGAGUAACACGUGAGUAACCUGCCCUUGACUUUGGGAUAACUUCAGGAAACUGGGGCUAAUACCGGAUAGGAGCUCCUGCUGCAUGGUGGGGGUUGGAAAGUUUCGGCGGUUGGGGAUGGACUCGCGGCUUAUCAGCUUGUUGGUGGGGUAGUGGCUUACCAAGGCUUUGACGGGUAGCCGGCCUGAGAGGGUGACCGGCCACAUUGGGACUGAGAUACGGCCCAGACUCCUACGGGAGGCAGCAGUGGGGAAUAUUGCACAAUGGGCGGAAGCCUGAUGCAGCAACGCCGCGUGCGGGAUGACGGCCUUCGGGUUGUAAACCGCUUUCGCCUGUGACGAAGCGUGAGUAACGGUAAUGGGUAAAGAAGCACCGGCUAACUACGUG
rnacentral:rRNA from 1 species